rnacentral:rRNA from 1 species
GCUGGCGGCAGGCUUAACACAUGCAAGUCGAGCGCCCCGCAAGGGGAGCGGCAGACGGGUGAGUAACGCGUGGGAAUCUACCCUGAACUGCGGAAUAGCUCCGGGAAACUGGAAUUAAUACCGCAUGUGCCCUGAGGGGCAAAGAUUUAUCGGUUCAGGAUGAGCCCGCGUCCGAUUAGCUAGUUGGUGGGGUAAAGGCCUACCAAGGCGACGAUCGGUAGCUGGUCUAAGAGGAUGAUCAGCCACAUUGGGACUGAGACACGGCCCAAACUCCUACGGGAGGCAGCAGUGGGGAAUAUUGGACAAUGGGCGCAAGCCUGAUCCAGCCAUGCCGCGUGAGUGAUGAAGGCCCUAGGGUUGUAAAGCUCUUUCAGUGGGGACGAUAAUGACGGUACCCACAGAAGAAGCCCCGGCUAACUUCGUGCCAGCAGCCGCGGUAAUACGAAGGGGGCUAGCGUUGUUCGGAAUUACUGGGCGUAAAGCGCACGUAGGCGGACAUUUAAGUCAGGGGUGAAAUCCCGGGGCUCAACCCCGGAACUGCCUUUGAUACUGGGUGU